rnacentral:ncRNA from 3 species
CUCUUAUCAAGAGAGGUGGAGGGACUGAGCCCUGUGAAACCCGGCAACCGUCAGACUAACUGAAAUGGUGCCAAUUCCUGCAAAGCUAUGCGCUUUGAAAGAUGAGAG